rnacentral:rRNA from 1 species
GAUGAACGCUAGCGGCAGGCUUAAUACAUGCAAGUCGAGGGGCAGCACGGGUAGCAAUACCUGGUGGCGACCGGCAAACGGGUGCGGAACACGUACGCAACCUUCCCAUAACUGGUGAAUAGCCUUCCGAAAGGGAGAUUAAUACACCGUAACAUAACGAGUAGGCAUCUACUUGUUAUUAUAGGCUUCGGCCGGUUUUGGAUGGGCGUGCGCCUGAUUAGGUAGUUGGCGGGGUAACGGCCCACCAAGCCUGCGAUCAGUAACUGGUGUGAGAGCACGACCAGUCACACGGGCACUGAGACACGGGCCCGACUCCUACGGGAGGCAGCAGUAAGGAAUAUUGGUCAAUGGACGAAAGUCUGAACCAGCCAUGCCGCGUGAAGGAUUAAGGCCCUCUGGGUUGUAAACUUCUUUUAUCUGGGACGAAAAAGGGCUUUCUAGCUCACUUGACGGUACCAGAGGAAUAAGCACCGGCUAACUCCGUGCCAGCAGCCGCGGUAAU